rnacentral:sRNA from 1 species
UCCCAUGGAGAAAUAAAUCUCUAUUUGUCUGAGGAUUUAGCAACUCUAAACACAUUGUCUAAAACUUGAUAGCUCUCCAGGAUUAUAUUUAGGUAAUUUGAGUAAAAAAAGUGACUGCUCUUUUGAGUAUAUGCAUUUUCAAUUUACAGAUAUUAACUGAGAUGCUCAUUAUAUUGAUAAUAGAUAACUUGGAAAGGAAAAGAAGAAAAGGAUGCCACAGCUCAGGAAGAAUUUCUAGAUUUUGGUGCCUAUCAAAUCUCUUCUCUGCAUAGAUGGAGCUAGUGUCUGGAUAAUGUUAAUUGGUUUUAAGAUCCAAAUGUAACACUACAUUAGGUCAUAUUUCUUAGCCAUGAGUAUUUGGAUUAAAAAUGUUUCACACGAAAUAUGCAUAUACAUAGAUUCAAUAAUCUAUAAAUACCAGUUUACCUGCCUAAGUUUUUAAAAAGUUGCAGUAGAAAACAAGAAUAGAAUAGACAAGUUACCAAGUUAAUUUAACAGGCAACUCCAUCUUUUCUUUUCAGUUUAGAGAUGAAAUAGAGUUUAUGUGGCGAUUUGCUCGUGCUUAUGGAGACAUGUAUGAACUAUCUACAAACACACAAGAAAAGAAACAUUAUGCUAAUAUUGGAAAAACUUUAAGUGAAAGAGCUAUUAAUAGAGCACCCAUGAAUGGACAUUGUCAUCUGUGGUAUGCAGUUUUGUGUGGCUAUGUAUCUGAGUUUGAGGGUUUACAAAACAAAAUCAACUAUGGGCACCUC